GUUGAUUUUGUCAGCGUGGAGGCUGGUGAGUCCUGUGUGAAUGCCAGGCUCGGUUCUCUCUGCGCAAACUCUCCUUGACCCUCUCUGAUGCUGGGGGAAGCCGACUGGUUCCCCUCCCCAGGCUCUGUUCCCCCUUGCUCGGUUUCCCAGGUGAAGAUGAUGUGGCUGACUCUCCUCGCUUCCCUGAACGUCAUUCUACCUGCCGGUCCCCACAGCCUUCUCGCCAUGUGGUCUCUUCCUUGCUGUCUCUCCAUAGCCUGCUGACCAAUGCUCCUGCCCAGUCCCCCUGUGUGGGUGCCUGUAGUCUCAGCUACCGGGGAGGCUGAGGCAGGGGAAUCACUUGAACCUGGGAGGUGGAGGUUGCAGCGAGCCGAGAUUGAGCUACUGCACUCCAGGCUGGCGACAGAGCAACACUCCUUCUUAAAAAAAAAAAAAAAAAAAAAAAGUUUAUUGAGGUGGAACUCACAAUAUAAAAUUAACCAUUUUAAGGUGAAUGAUUCAGUGCCAUUUUGUAUAUUCACAAUGUACAAUCAUCACCUCUAUCUACUCCAAAAUGUGUUAGCCACCAUCACCCCAGAAGAGAAUCCCAUACCCAUUAAGCAGUUUCUCCACAUUCUCCCCUCCUCACAGUCUCUGGCAACCACUCCUCUGCUUCCUGUCCCCAUGGAUUUGACUUGCCAAUCCCAUCCUAAACCCACC
rnacentral:lncRNA from 10 species